CUUUCCCGGCAGCGCCAUGGAGCGCAAGCUGACGGUGCAGCAUGGCGCACAGCGGAGGCCGCGGGCGGCCGAACCCGGCGUGUCCUUGGGCUCUUCCAGGUGCAACAAAACCGGUCUCAUUUGAAGGUGCUUGAACAAAUAUUUUCUAAAAACUUGUCAUGGAGAGUGAUUGAAACAAGCUACCAGGACUACAUUUGCCAAUAGCAAGCAUGGAGGUGGCUGUAGUGGAUGUCCAGCUUUGGGAGCUGCGAUUCCUAAAGACCCUUUAUUGUUUUGGGUGCAGCUUACAUAUUGGAAGGUAAAACGAAGACCAUGAACAAAGUCAAGAAACCAUGAACAGAAGCAAUUGGUGAAAAUUAAUAUUUAAUUUAAUAUUAAUAAGUUAUAUAUAAAUAAACAGUUAUUCUUAAUUGCUGUGGGCAGUAAUUUCUUUAAAAUGUCAUUCUUGUGGUAAAAUAAACUUCUCAUCUUUCAUGA
rnacentral:lncRNA from 1 species